rnacentral:rRNA from 1 species
CGCGGCCCUCGGCGGGAGCAACAGCUGCCGUCGGGCGGUAGAGGUAACACUUUCACGCG